AUUGAACGCUGGCGGCAGGCCUAACACAUGCAAGUCGAACGGUAACAGGAAGCAGCUUGCUGCUUCGCUGACGAGUGGCGGACGGGUGAGUAAUGUCUGGGAAGCUGCCUGAUGGAGGGGGAUAACUACUGGAAACGGUAGCUAAUACCGCAUAAUGUCGCAAGACCAAAGAGGGGGACCUUCGGGCCUCUUGCCAUCGGAUGUGCCCAGAUGGGAUUAGCUUGUUGGUGGGGUAACGGCUCACCAAGGCGACGAUCCCUAGCUGGUCUGAGAGGAUGACCAGCCACACUGGAACUGAGACACGGUCCAGACUCCUACGGGAGGCAGCAGUGGGGAAUAUUGAACAAUGGGCGCAAGCCUGAUGCAGCCAUGCCGCGUGUAUGAAGAAGGCCUUCGGGUUGUAAAGUACUUUCAGCGGGGAGGAAGGGAGUAAAGUUAAUACCUUUGCUCAUUGACGUUACCCGCAGAAGAAGCACCGGCUAACUCCGUG
rnacentral:rRNA from 1 species